rnacentral:snoRNA from 1 species
UUUCAGAGAUGAAUAUUUUUUAUUUGAUAUUAUUAUAUGAAAUAAUAAAAAAUAAGAGCUUUUUAACCCUGAGAAAC